rnacentral:misc_RNA from 1 species
GGGAAAAAAGUUGAAAUGAGAUUUGUUGAAUUUUCCAUGAUAUCAUGCUAGACUGUUAUUGUAUAAAAAAAUUGGGAGGUGGGAAGAGGACCAUUUAGUUUAUUCCUUUAUUGCAAGUUGAGGUUGUGGAUGUGUGUUAACGAUAUGUCCAUGCUUUUUUUUUUUCCGUGUCUUUUCUAUUUGGUCUGUAACGUGAAUCUUCCUUGUGUUUGGCAUCAGAAAACCAGCCCACCAAUGGAGCUUUUUGCCUCCUCCCUGCUUUUUAUUUUCAUAAACUUUUAAUGAAUCUAAUCUAAUCCUCUUAUUUAAAUACUAUUCUAAACCUCUUAUUUAAAUACUAAUCUCCUAGGACAGUGACAAUCUGUUGCCUGGACUUGUACUUUGAAAAACUGCUAUAUAUUUGUUGAUAGAACCACCAUUCUGAACCUUUGAUCUUAAGACAAAUGAAGGCCAGAAGAGGAAAGCGUUCUGAGGCCUUUUGGCCUUCCAUUGUUAUGAAGAAAUGGUUGAACAUAAAGCCCAAGGUUUAUGAUUUUAGUGAAGAUGAGUAUACUGAAACUGAGAGUGAAGAUGAUGCUUGCUCUCUUAAAGAUGAAAGAGUUAAUGCGUGCGAGGAUAUUGCUCAUAGGGCACAAGGGAACCAAUCUUCGUUUCGGAACCAAAUUUCAGACCUUGGAGAGAAGCUAUUUUGUCCUGAAUCUAUUACCACAUUGUGAUAUGGCUGGUUUAUGCUCCAUGUGAAUCUCGAGAAAAAACUUUGCUAAAGGGAGGACAGAAUUUGAAUUUCUUGUUAAGCAUACUCUCAAGAUCUAAGUAGUAACUAAUAGAGUUUUUUGACUUGGUCAUCAUGAUAAAUUUGAAAGAUAAUCUUCUGUUGUCAUCUGAUAAGUUUAAUAGAUCUCAAGUUAUAAUUAUGAUUGUGGGUUUUGAUAUCCAGAUGCACCUUCAAAGGCCUACUCAGUGAGACACAGGCGAGGAAAAUCUGAAACUCUGCGUGUUCAGUACAUAAAUACUAAGGAAGUGAGAGUGACAAUAGGCACUUGGAAUGUUGCUGGAAGACUUCCAUAUGAAGAUCUUGAGAUUGAUGACUGGCUUUGUACAGAAGAACCAGCAGAUAUGUAUAUUAUCGGUUUCCAAGAGGUUGUACCUCUGAAUGCUGGAAACGUACUAGGAGCAGAAAGUAGCAGGCCAAUUCCAAAAUGGGAGUCAAUCAUUAGAAGAACUCUGAACAAAUCUUUACAACCUGAAAGCAAACACAAAUGUUACAGUGCCCCACCCUCUCCAGUACUGAGGACUUCCUCUGUUGCUGAUGAACUUGCAGACGAGGUUGAUGCUCUGCCAUUGGAGAUGGUGAAUAAUGAAUAUGCAGAAACUGCUGCUGCUUGUGACUUUGAAAGGCAUGAGUUGAGUAAAGUAAUUGACAUUGGAAGAAGUUUACAUUUCAAGAGAAUAUAUGGAAUUGACUGUGACAGUAGAUUAGACUGGCCUGAAUAUUCAUUAGAUGUAACCCCACAAGUUAUCUCUUCCAAUUCCAAGCUGCGGAGAGUAUGGAGCAGUUCUGCAAGGAUGGGCUUUAGUUGGGCAGAGAAUCCUUUAAUGUUUAGUCCUCAAAAUUUUGCAGUAAAUGGCAAUGGACUGAGAAGAUCUCACCAUAGUUCUGGGAACUUAUGCUCAAUGUGGGUAGAACAGCAAGAGAGGCCUGAAGUUCCCGAAGUUCCUGAAGUUCUUGAUUCUCUCUCUGAUGCAUCUGAUAAGUCAUCUGAAGAGGAAGAUAACAUUUUCUCGGAAGUACCAGGGGAAAAAAAUAACAAUGGAUUUAUCAUGGAUAAUGGGAAUCCACGUCCCAAGUAUGUACGCAUUGUUAGCAAGCAAAUGGUUGGGAUAUAUAUAUCAGUUUGGGUGCGAAAGAGGUUGCGGAGACACAUAAACAAUUUGAAGGUCUCUCCUGUUGGAGUUGGUCUUAUGGGUUACAUGGGAAACAAGGGAUCUGUUUCUGUUAGCUUGACUCUUUUCCAGUCAAGACUCUGCUUCGUUUGUUCUCAUCUGACCUCAGGUCAGAAAGAUGGGGCUGAACAAAGGCGUAAUGCUGAUGUCUAUGAAAUUAUACGACGCACUCAAUUCUCAUCUGUCUUUGACACGAAUCAACCGCAGAAUAUCCCAUCUCAUGAUCAGAUAUUCUGGUUUGGGGAUUUGAAUUAUCGUCUCAAUAUGUCAGACACAGAGAUAAGGAAACUUGUUGGUCUGAAGCAAUGGGAUGAACUUAUCAACAGUGAUCAGGUGAGAUUCAUAACACUCUUAAUGUUUAAUCUGUGAUUGAAGUUUCUUUUGAUAAUGUAUAUUCUAGGACAUUUUAUCUAGGAAUAUAGAUCCUGGUGGGGAGCAUAUUGAUAAUGUACUAUGUGUGAGUAGAAAAUCCAAAUCUAGUCCUAACUUUGAUUUAAUAUUUUCAAGUAACUUCGUACACUAAGAAGCAAUUCAAUUGACUACUAGGGGAGAAAACAGUUUGAAAAUUAUUUCGCCUUUAAGGUAAGAUUUUUAACACAAUACAUUAUAGCUUCUUGAGAAAUGGAGGGUGGGGUGGACUUAAAGCAUGUAUGAUGGCGGUGCAAUGGUUGGUCUUUUUCUGUAAUUGAUGCUGCCUCUUUUGGAUCUUUCUUAGCAACAUCAUACAUGCUUAUCUUGCAAUAAAAAUAACAGUUAAUGGAAUCAUCUUAUAUGGCAGCUAAGCAAAGAACUUCGCAGUGGGCAUGUAUUUGAUGGAUGGAAAGAGGGAGUGGUAAACUUUCCUCCCACUUACAAAUAUGAGAUAAACUCUGACAGAUAUGUUGGAGAGAACCCAAAAGAAGGGGAGAAGAGAAGAUCUCCAGCAUGGUGAUUACAUCUAACUUGGAAAUAACAGGGUUGUAAAAUCUGGUUUAUAUGUGGUCUUGGGAGGAAACUUAGAAUUCUUGUCUGCUUUUUGAGAAUGCUAAAGAAAUUUAACACAUUUUGAAUGUAUGUUGGUGACCUGUUGUUUAGGUGUGAUAGAAUACUUUGGCUAGGAAAAGGUAUAAAACAACUUUCUUACAAGAGGGCAGAAUUAAGCCUCUCAGAUCAUCGACCAGUCAGUUCAAUGUUUUUGGUUGAGGUUGAAGUUCUAGAUCAUCGAAAGCUUCAAAAGGCACUCAAUGUCAACAGUGCAGCAGUACAUCCUGUGAUUUUCCUAGUUGAAGAUGAGGUUUAACAGAUACAAGGUAAGCAACUUUCCUCAAUUUGUAGAAUAUGAGGUUAAGAUGGCUUAAUUUGAUUCUUAAUAAUAUGUUGACCUUGCUGUUGCUUGCAUCUAGUAACAUGUAUUUGUCUUUCAAGCAGGGCAUUGCAGAUCACUUAAAAAGUACUGUUAAUCUUAUUUGACCAAUAAGCCUUGACAUGCUCUCCUGGAACACCAAUAAUAGGAGGCCAGUGUUUAAGACACAUUUUAGAUAAAAGCAGGAAUAGAAAAUCAUUUGUAAAAUCUUGAGCAAUGGUACAUUUUCUUUUUUUCUAAUUUUACUGCAAUUGUAGCUGAUAGAGCAGUGUGUGGGUU